GAACCGAGGGAACUCGGAGAAUAAAGUUCUAAGUACUGAUACGCUUGUUUUUCCUUUGUUCUAUUUAUACGUUCACGCCUUAUUCGCUUUAACAUGGUGCCGAAAAACCCGACUUAUGAAGUUUAAGAUUCGACAAAGAUUAUAGCAACGGAUCCCUGACUUCACAUAGAUACUGUACAUGCUUUUACUUGUUUCAACGGUCUUUCACUACCACUGUAGAAAUCCAACAUGGCCCUAGUUAAUGACUCUACCGCACUGCUAAAACGAAAACGAACAAUGGUAAGAAGUACUGCCACUAAAUUUAUUAAGCUUGUAAACUCUGUAAACGAUAACACUUUACUCGAAGAUAUAGAACAUUAUAUUAACCGACUUAAUACAUCUCUACUCGAACUCAAACAAUUAGACGAUAACAUCCAUAAUCUGUUACCCGACGCA
rnacentral:lncRNA from 1 species